rnacentral:rRNA from 1 species
UAGGGAAUCUUCGGCAAUGGACGGAAGUCUGACCGAGCAACGCCGCGUGAGUGAAGAAGGUUUUCGGAUCGUAAAGCUCUGUUGUAAGAGAAGAACGAGUGUGAGAGUGGAAAGUUCACACUGUGACGGUAUCUUACCAGAAAGGGACGGCUAACUACGUGCCAGCAGCCGCGGUAAUACGUAGGUCCCGAGCGUUGUCCGGAUUUAUUGGGCGUAAAGCGAGCGCAGGCGGUUAGAUAAGUCUGAAGUUAAAGGCUGUGGCUUAACCAUAGUACGCUUUGGAAACUGUUUAACUUGAGUGCAAGAGGGGAGAGUGGAAUUCCAUGUGUAGCGGUGAAAUGCGUAGAUAUAUGGAGGAACACCGGUGGCGAAAGCGGCUCUCUGGCUUGUAACUGACGCUGAGGCUCGAAAGCGUGGGGAGCAAACAGGAUUAGAUACCCUGGUAGUCCACGCCGUAAACGAUGAGUGCUAAGUGUUGGAGGGGUUCCACCCUUCAGUGCUGGAGUUAACGCAAUAAGCACUCCGCCUGGGGAGUACGGCCGCAAGGCUG